GUCGCUCACGAGGUCACGCCUCGCACCCGCCUUCCUCCUUUUCUUUCACCCUCCCCUUUAGAAAAAACGGCGGUUGGGCUGCGACGGCCGCCAAAAGCGGACUAGAAGCGGAGGGGUGAAAAGCCCGGGAGAGAGGGAAGAAGGGAUUGCAGGAGGGAGGAGGAGGAGGAGAAGGAGGAAGGGAGCCCGCCCAGCCGGAGCCAUCUCCGUCGAGAACAAAAUGGCGGCGCUGGCGGAGGGCCAACUGUGAGGCGGGGCCGCGGCCAUUCCCCCUCCGCCCCCACCCUUGCGCCGGCCGGGCCGGUCAGGGGGAACCCGCUCGCUUCGCCCGGCCGCGGGCGGGGAGGGGAGGGGAGCGGCCCGGCCCACUAUGCAAAGCGCCGGGCGCCGCCGCCGCCACCCCGUGGCAAAGAAUAUGCUUUUUGUCUAAUGAUGUUAGAUAAAAAGCAAAUUGGAGCAGUUUUCUUAUUCGAGUUCAAAAUGGGUCAUAAAGCAGCGAAGACAACUCAAAACAUCAGUAACACAUUUGGCCCAGGAACUGCUAACAAACAUACAGUGCAGUGGUGGCUUAAGAAGUUUUGCAAAGAAGAGAGCCUUGAAGGUGAGGAACGUGAUAUGGGCUAUGGGAAGUUGACAACGACCAAUUGAGAGCAAUCAUUGAACUACAUGAAAAAUUACAGAAGAACUCAGCGUUGACUAUUCUACGGUCAUUAGGGUCGUUCAGCAUUUGAAGCAAAUUGGAAAAACUAUCAUUUUGAAGUGUAGUCUUCUUUUAUCCUAUGCAACAACAAACCAUUUCUCAAUCGGAUUGUGACAUGUAAUGAAAAGUGGAUUUUAUACAACAACCAGCUCAGUGGUUGGACCAAGAGGCAGCUCCAUAGCAGUUCCCAAAGCCAAACUUGCACCAAAAAAAGGUCACGGUCACUGUUUGGUGGUCUGCUGCCCAUCUGAUCCACUACAGUUUUCUGAAUCCUGGCGAAACCAUUACAUCUGAGAAGUAUGCUCAGCAAAUUGAUAAGAUGCACCAAAAACUGCAAUGCCUGCAGCCGGCAUUGGUCAACAGAAAGGGCCCAAUUCUUCUCCACGACAACACCUGACUGCAUGUCGCACAACCAGGGCUUCAAAAGUUGAAGGAAUUGGGCUACGAAGUUUUGCCUCAUCCAUCAUAUUCACCUGACCUUUCGCCAACUGACUACCACUUCUAGCAUCUUGACAACUUUUUGCAGGGAAAACACUUCAGCGGGAUGCAGAAAAUGCUUUCCAAGAGUUCGUCAAAUCCUGAAGCACGGAUUUUUAUGCUACAGGAAUAAACAUUUCUCAUUAGCAAAAAUGUGUUGAUUGUAAUGGUUCCCGUUUUGAUUAAUAUAAUGUGUUUUAGCUAGUUACAAUGAUUUAAAAUUUGCAGUCUGGAAAUUUAACUUUUGCUCCAACUUAAUAUUUCUAUGGUAAAUCCUUGCAAACAUGGAAACAAUGCAUUUGGCCCAGUGCUUUGUGGUUAUGUACUCUUUUUCUUUUUUUUUAAUAGAUGGCAUUGGCCGGGCAUGGUGGCUCAUGCCUGUAAUCCCAGCACUUUGGGAGGGUGAGGUGGAUGGAUCACCUGAGGUCAGGAGUUCAAGAACAGCCUGGCCAACAUGGUAAAACCCCGUCUCUACUAAAAACACAAAAAAAUUAGCUAGGCGUGGUGGCGGGCAUUUAAUUCCAGCUACUUAAUGAGGCUGCGACAGGAGAAUCAUUUGAACCCGGGAGGCGGAGGUUGCAGUGAGCCGAGAUCACGCCAUUGCACUCCAGCCUGGGCAAUGAGUGAAACUCUAUC
rnacentral:antisense_RNA from 1 species